rnacentral:rRNA from 1 species
UGCCAGCAGCCGCGGUAAUACGGAGGGGGCAAGCGUUGUUCGGAAUUACUGGGCGUAAAGGGUGCGCAGGCGGCGUCGCCAGUCAGGUGUGAAAUCCCCGGGCUCAACCCGGGAACUGCACUUGAUACUGCGAUGCUAGAGUUCGGAAGAGGGUAGUGGAAUUCCCAGUGUAGAGGUGAAAUGCGUAGAUAUCAGGAGGAACACCGAUGGCGAAGGCAUCUCUCUGGGUCGAUAUUGACGCUGAGGCGCGAAGGCGUGGGUAGCGAACGGGAUUAGAUA